CAGAGUGAUGAAAACCUGGAGAUGUCGCAGACUGAGCAGAAAAUGAAGAUGUGAAAGGCCUGCCACUUGAAUCUGGGA